rnacentral:rRNA from 1 species
UACGGAGGGGGCUAGCGUUGUUCGGAAUUACUGGGCGUAAAGGGCGCGUAGGCGGCGACCCAAGUCAGAUGUGAAAGUCCUGGGCUUAACCUGGGGACUGCAUUUGAUACUGGGUUGCUUGAAUUCGGGAGAGGAUAGCGGAAUUCCCAGUGUAGAGGUGAAAUUCGUAGAUAUUGGGAAGAACACCGGUGGCGAAGGCGGCUAUCUGGACCGACAUUGACGCUGAGGCGCGAAAGCGUGGGGAGCAAACAGG